rnacentral:rRNA from 1 species
UACGAAGGGGGCAAGCGUUGUCCGGAAUCAUUGGGCGUAAAGAGCGUGUAGGCGGCCAGAUAAGUCCGCUGUGAAAUCUCGAGGCUCAACUUCGAGCUGUCGGUGGAAACUGUCUGGCUAGAGUCCGGAAGAGGAGAAUGGAAUUCCUGGUGUAGCGGUGAAAUGCGCAGAUAUCAGGAAGAACACCCGUGGCGAAGGCGGUUCUCUGGGACGGUACUGACGCUGAGACGCGAAAGCGUGGGGAGCGAACAGG